rnacentral:tmRNA from 1 species
GGGGCCGAUCUGGUUUCGACCGGGCAGAGCAGGCUUGGCGUGGCGCGUCGAGGGGCGUGCUUGCCUCGUAAAAAGCACGCGCACAAGUAGCUGGCAACAACAGCUAUGCCCUCGCGGCCUAACUAGGCUGCGCGAUCACCGCCCGACGCCCGAUGGGGCGGUGAUCGAAGACAUCGGGCUGGUCCGCGCGGGGCGCACCCGGCCGCGCGGAUGAGAUUGCACCGGGCGCUGGGGCGAACGGGAGGCCGUCGGCGGCCGCCCACAGCCCGAGAUGCAAAACGCCGACUACACGCGUAGAGGCGCCCUGCCGACUGCAUCGGGACGGGGGUUCGAUUCCCCCCGGCUCCAUUC